CUGACAUCAUAAAAUGUAAAUUUUCCAGGUCCACACGCCCAAACAAAACACUGAGAAGCAAAGGACCAUGUCCCAGCUUCCAAGUAAAAGACGCGCUCCUUGAAGUUUCCUAAAUGGAAUCUCACCACACUCACUACCAGCCGCAGCUAAUCUCCACAUGGGCAUCUUUCCACUUCAAUACGGACACGUAUAUUUGAUUCAUUGUAGACCUAGUCUCUCCCCAUCUGCAUUCCAACACCAAAACUAAAUGAUGAUGGCGAUCCUCCCCUACUUCUUUGUAAUUUCUUCUGUCAUAGACUAUCAGCCUGGUCUUUUUUUCUCCAAAGUUUCCCGUAUCUCACAGAAAUCAAAAUUACGGAUCGAUCUUUGAUAGCGGGCAGUGGGGACCUUCUAGUCGUAACAAGCUCCUCCAUAUAUUGCUCUUAAAGAUCAAGGCUUCCGAUUCAUUUUUAUUAUUUCUUAAUAAUUUAUUAGCA